UACAGUGUGAGUAGUUGUAUGGGGGCACCAUUCGUCAAACUUUUAUGACCCCCUCCCCCACCCGGUGACAGUUGCUGUCUGACAGGUCGUUUUUAUGACCCCUUGACAGAUGGCGUUUUAUGACCCCAUGACAGAUGGCGUUUUAUGACCCCAUGACAGAUGGUGUUUUGACAGGUUGUGUUUUAUGACCCUUAACAGAUGGUUUUAUGACAGUUUGUGUUUUAUGACUCCUUAACAGAUGGUGUUUUGACAGUUUGUGUUUUAUGACUUCUUUGACAGCUCGUGUUUGACAGGGGGCGGGACCAUCAAUCAAAAUCUGUACAAGUUGUCAACUUUAGACAGAAAGUAUUUAAUGGUUUUAUUGCCGGGCAUUUAGAGUGAUUGUUUUUCCUGAGUGUGUUUUAUGUCAAGCGUAUGGUGUCAUGUUUAAUGACGGCUCGUGUUUCGACAUUUGCUGUUUAUUGACAUUUGAUGUCAGAUCUCAACCAUCCUCCCUCCUUUCGCACAAGACAUGCAUUCUUUCACAGGGGUGCGUGUUGUAAAGCGAUUAAAGAUUUCUAAAACUCAAUGUUGGUAAAACAAUCCCCCAUUACGGUGUCAAAAAAGUAAAAUGUUUAUUUUAGAUUUAGACAAAUCAUGAACAAUGCUACGAUUAAAACAUUUGUUUGUAACAUCACAAGUUAUUUAAUGAAAUAUUCCGUAUACGUGUAUAGUUUAAGCAAUGAUCUGAGCCAUAACCUUCGGAGCCGGCAAUACUACAAUCUUUAGACGAAAGUCUAAACUAAAUACAAUUUUAAACGAUUCAUGAGUUCCGUGAAUCUUUUCAUAACCUGCACUAUAGUUUCACGCGUAUUAAAGAUCCGGCGGUGUCUGACAAAGCGCCGGGUGAGCGUUCAUAUCUGCCAUUUUAAAAUAAUGUUAAUAAAUGUAAUUCUGUCCACUAUGGCAAAAUAGGAUUUUAUUUUAGAUUUAGUGGAAUCUUUAACCAAGUCUCUGAUUAAGACAUGUGUAUACGUGCACAGAUGGUGACAGAGAAACUUAUAUAUGACGUUAGUAAUCUUUUAAAUGUUUUUAAGACGUAUUCACCCCAUUUUGGGGUUUUAUUUUUAAUUAAAGGCUUCUUAAAACAUGUGUGAAUAUGUGUAUAUUAUACAAAGAGUCUUAUAUUGUCUGCUCUGACAAAAAUAAAGUAUUAUUUUAGGUUUAGGGGAAUUGACUGCGUGUGUCUUAUAAAUACAACUUGAUAAUACGUUUGUUUUGUAAAGAGACUUCUUUAAAGUCACGCAAAAAUAAAAUAUUUUAGUUGUAACUGGUUAAACUUAAAGCCGAUAUUUUCUAUCGAACUAGUCUAUUUUCUGUUCAGACACAAAGUUUUCUGAUGCUGAUAUUAUGUCAGUGUGUGUUUGUGUGGGGGUCGUGUGCUGUAAUCUUUGAAAGUUUAUGACCGAACCUUUAUUGGGGAGCGACAAGAGAUCUCCGGCAUCAGUUUGGAUGGAGCAGAGCUGUUAUACUCAAGUCUAUUGCGAAAUUGUCUAAGCUGGUAUUUACUAUUCCUGGUAAAUCGCGGAGAAGAGUGGAAUGAACAAAAAAGUCAGACCGUGACUAGAACCACCAGCAGCGUAACAAGGAAAUCUUGGAGCAAAGAGACGCCGAGUGGCUCGUGUUGUCCGGUUUGGAUAUCAGCGGCAAAGCGAACGUUGCGUGUACUAUUGCAAAAUAUAUAGCGGAUCUCCACGGUUAGGAUACAGAACACAACGCUUUGGACGUAUCUUUAAAAAAGAGAAAAAUCAGAGACUUUUUGGAUUUGUCUGGGACAUUUUAAACAUUUUGUGGCAAAUUGGAUUUAAAACGUUUCGGAUACUGGAUACAUGUGUUUGAUUUGUCCACAGAGCUUGUUUAAGACAUCUUCACCUCAUUUUAGGGUUUAUUUUUAAUUAAAGGCUUCUUAAAACAU